CGUGUCUUAACUGGCGGGGCGCUAUUGAGCCAAUUUACCAUAAUCAAGCCUGAGACCCAUGUGAUUCACUUCAGGCCUGGACUAACAUCAUGUAUGAAAGAUUUGGAGCAGAUCGAACCAUUUUUCAUUCGAG